CCUACGGGAGGCAGCAGUGAGGAAUAUUGGUCAAUGGGCGUAAGCCUGAACCAGCCAAGUCGCGUGAGGGAUGAAGGUUCUAUGGAUCGUAAACCUCUUUUAUAAGGGAAUAAAGUGUGGGACGUGUCCUGUUUUGUAUGUACCUUAUGAAUAAGGAUCGGCUAACUCCGUGCCAGCAGCCGCGGUAAUACGGAGGAUCCGAGCGUUAUCCGGAUUUAUUGGGUUUAAAGGGUGCGUAGGCGGCCUUUUAAGUCAGCGGGGAAAGUCUGUGGCUCAACCAUAGAAUUGCCGUUGAAACUGGGAGGAUUGAGUAUGUUUGAGGCAGGCGGAAUGCGUGGUGUAGCGGUGAAAUGAUUAGAUAUCACGAAGAACUCCGAUUGCGAAGGCAGCUGACUAAACUGCCACUGACAUUGAUGCUCGAAAGUGUGGGUAUCAAACAGGAUUAGAUACCCUUGUAGUC
rnacentral:rRNA from 1 species